rnacentral:tRNA from 1 species
GCCCCUAUGGCGGAACUGGUAGACGCGACCGACUCAAAAUCGGUUUCCGCAAGGAGUGCUGGUUCGAUUCCGGCUAGGGGCACCA